rnacentral:rRNA from 1 species
AGCGAACGCUGGCGGCAGGCCUAACACAUGCAAGUCGAACGAACUCUUCGGAGUUAGUGGCGGACGGGUGAGUAACACGUGGGAACGUGCCUUUAGGUUCGGAAUAACUCAGGGAAACUUGUUCUAAUACCGAAUGUGCCCUUCGGGGGAAAGAUUUAUCGCCUUUAGAGCGGCCCGCGUCUGAUUAGCUAGUUGGUGAGGUAAAGGCUCACCAAGGCGACGAUCAGUAGCUGGUCUGAGAGGAUGAUCAGCCACAUUGGGACUGAGACACGGCCCAAACUCCUACGGGAGGCAGCAGCGGGGAAUCUUGCGCAAUGGGCGAAAGCCUGACGCAGCCAUGCCGCGUGAAUGAUGAAGGUCUUAGGAUUGUAAAAUUCUUUCACCGGGGACGAUAAUGACGGUACCCGGAGAAGAAGCCCCGGCUAACUUCGUG